rnacentral:piRNA from 2 species
AGCCUGAUCCAGAGAGAAAGAGG